UGCGGCUGGAUCCCCUCCUUUCUAGAGCGAAACGGAAUCAAGAACUCACAACCUAUCGAUUGUCAAACAACAGCACAGACAGAGGGUCUGUAGCUCAGUUGGUUAGAGCAUCGUCUUGAUAAGGCGGGGGUCGUUGGUUCGAUUCCAACCAGACCCACCAGGAUAUCGGGGGAUUAGCUCAGCUGGGAGAGCACCUGCUUUGCAAGCAGGGGGUCGUCGGUUCGAUCCCGUCAUCCUCCACCAACGUCCGGAGAGCAGUUAGGUUUGGAGAGUGGAUACUCCUUAAACCUAACUCCUGAUCGGAGUUAAAAGUCUGUACGCUCUUUAACAAAAUGGAAGAAGGUUGUAUCACUGAUUAAACGCUGUCGGUAUGAAGCGUGGAGAGGUCAGUGAUACGGUUGUGAUUGCAUCAAAUGACGGCUUCUCUAACCAAGAAGUUGUCGCACAAAUGAGUUGCCUGUAGCUAACAGUUCUCGCAAGAGAGCUUAAGGUUAUAGGAUCAAGCGAAUAAGUGCAUGUGGUGGAUGCCUUGGCGAUUACAGGCGAAGAAGGACGUGCAAGCCUGCGAAAAGCUCUGGGGAGCUGGCAAUGAAGCUUUGAUCCAGAGAUGUCCGAAUGGGGAAACCCGG
rnacentral:misc_RNA from 1 species